GCCGGAGUGAUGGAAUUGGCAGACGUAGCGGACUCAAAAUCCGCCGGGCUAACACCCGUACGGGUUCAAGUCCCGUCUUCGGCACCA
rnacentral:tRNA from 1 species